AUUUGUUCUACUUCUAAUGCCGGCCUAACCUUAGCAGCCUCUGAUUUCCAACUAGUAGCAUUCUCGCAAAAUAUCUCCGUAGGUUUCCUCUUUAAGUUAUGCAUGUAGAAUACAUAUAGUGAAUUCUCCAUGUUGAAUCUGAAUCCAUGAAAUCGGACGCCAUAGUCACCCAAUUUGUCCAUUUCUUCUGAUAUUUGAUAAUGUACCAAGACAGAGCAUCUCCUUUCAGACUUCUCAAUAAAAGCUUCAUGCGAAUCUUUUCAUCCUUUCCUACUUCAACCAACUUGUUUAAUAUAUCCUCAAAUGAACUCUAGGAUCCCCGGUGCCAUUGAACAUCUCGAACUUAGGAGGUAUGUACCCCUCAGGCAGCUGGAAAUUAAGUUGAAUGCAAAGGUCUUUGUAAUUCAGUCCAUCGAUCCCCUUGCUUCCUUCAAUGCCUGAACUUGGCUAGUCAGUUUCUUGCGUUCAGUGGCCAGAUUCCUGAUAAGAGAGUCUUUGUCAUCAGACUUAGGUGUGCAUAAGGUGGGUUGAAUGGGGUGUGGUGUGGUUUCCAAAUAGAUGGGGGGUGUUGUGGUGAGUGUGGAGAUGAUCAUUUAUAGAGUUCAGUGGAUCAGGGAUGAGUAGUGGGGUGUUGUUUGAAGUGUGGCAUGUGUUGCAGCGAUGAUGGGGAGCGGGUUGGUUUUGUGGUUUCGGGAUGUUUUAUGGAGGUGCGGGGUUUUGAGUGUUGGGAAAAUUGACAUAUGGGGUAGUGAGGGAAAACGACAAGCUUGCCAAGUUUCGAACUUGGUCCAGUUCUUCCUGAAAUUUCAAUAACUUCUGCUCG
rnacentral:lncRNA from 1 species